UUCUUCACUCCUGGGACUUCCAUUGUGGGAAUGGCUAAGACAUUGCAGUUUUAUUCAUGAAACCUUAAAGUCACUGAAUAUUUCAACCAGUAAAAAUUUGCAGAUGAAGAUUCCGCUUCUUGGCUCAAUACCUCCCUGGCCACAUUGAAGAGAUUAGCUUGUUAUAUUGGAUAUGAGGAUAAAUAUUGAUAAAUUAGGACUUUUGAAGGAACUCGUCAAACAUUGAGAUGGGAGGGAGAAAUGAGUCAGCAGCUCUGACGCAGAUCUCCAAGGUAAGAACGUAGGUGGGUGGAGUAGACAGAACAGAAUGCUGGGAAGAAGGGAAGUGAGGUCAGACGCCAUGAAGCCAGGAGCCAGGUCAGACAUGCUGAAUCUUCCCUGGCAUGUAGCUAAUGAGAGUGAAGAAUUUUGGUCAUGCUAAUUUCAGGAUUAAUCAUCAAUUAUAGCCCAACAAACCUCUCCCAGCCCUUAAAUAGGCACGGGACGCCAACCCUGGAUUGCCACGUGGGCACUGUCCAUACGUCCACGCAUAUGCAAGCAGCUGACGAUUAUUGCAUGAUGAGAGCAUGAGUCAGGCUUUAGCCAUAUAAGGAGUUGUUAGAGAGCACUCGCUUUCGGGAUCGCGGAGGGCAGAAGCCAGCACCAUCAGGUACAGCUCCACGCAGCUCUCUACAAUUUGUAAUGAAAGGAAAUGAUUUUGUGAUUGUGAGUGUGGAGACAAAAUCCUGGAACAACUCAACAGGUCCCGGUAUUAUUUAAGAAAGCAUAUGAAAAGAAAAGGAAGUUGCGGGGUCAGAUUUCUCUGAUCUGUGACCCAACAUUUUUCUGCAUGUUUGGUUUUCCACAACAGAUAGUCUCCAUUUGACAGAGGAAACAUUGAGAUUGGGGGAGAAAGUAGUCAGCAGCUCUGAUGCAGAUCUCCAAGGUAACCACAGGCUUUGUUCCUAUUGGUGGAAUUGAGAUCACACUCCUCAUUGUUCAUGGAAAAAAUUGAAUGCACACACUCCUUCAGUCAGCGGCAAGAAGAGCUAAUAAUAUUGUCAGCAUAGCAGGUCCUUCCUCUUUAGCCUGAGGGAAUACGCGAGCUCUUAGCUACAAAUGAAUAUACCUGAAACCGGAACAUACAUUGGUCCAGACACAGCAGACUGAUCUUGACAUCUUUAUAUGAAAAAGCCCAGGGAAAUUAUCAGUCAGCCACACUUUGGACACCACUUUACCCUGGCCCACCUAUAAGUCAACAGAGUCCCUGGAGAGGGAGUGAGAAUGAGAUGGGACAAGAGACACAGGAGAUGGAGACAAGACAGGAUUCUGAUCAAGUCUUGUUUAUUCAAGGGAAUAAUCCAGGUACCUUCUCUUAAACUAGCUUGAUUGAGAGAUACACAACAAAUUCUGAGUGUUUGUACUACUCCAGGAGGUCUCUGCAUCAUUGCUUGAUCUAAACAAGCCCUUGGGUAAGAAGAUGAGUGCUUUUGUGAUAAGAGGAGAUUUACAGAGUUUCCAACUUCUGUGAAGUGAUUACAUCUUGAAUGCUCAUGUCUAGAAACUGAAGGACAGUUACAUCAUCAUGGAAGUUGAACCUGCCGAUCUGACACUGAAUAUAUUACCACAAGCUUGCCUGUGAUGUACAAGUGCCUUAAAAUACAGGAUUAAUGAACAGGCCCAUUUUCUUAGUCAGGCUGUCCCUCCCAUUCUGUGAAAUGAAGUAAGCAUAAAGUACAAUUUUAAAAAAUAAAAACACUGUGACUUUAAUUGUUUCCAAGGAUAUUAAGAAAACCCAGUAAAGGGAAAUAUCCAAUUGCACGUGGUUUUCUGUCUAUGACUUGUAAUUAUUCAAAAGAAAAUCACACUUAAAUAACACUAAGUUAUAUGUAAUGGCUCUUUUUUGCUUUUUAUGCAUUUUUAUUGCUUGAUAUAUAUGGUUUACCUUGUACCUUAAAAAGACACAUCAGUAACACAUCCAGUUUCAUUAGGUGCUUAUUUUAUUUCAUUUGAACAUUUCAGGGUUCCAUUUUUAAUUUUAUUUUUAUUUUUCCCACUAUAUCUAGACUUUGCUAGGUAGAUUUCCAGAGAAUGUGUUCCCUAAAAUCAUAACAAGCAAGAUGGAUAAAUCCAGGUCCCACUGCCCCAGGCCCUACAGUCUGCUCCAGGCAUACAUGUCUUCCCACAUUCCGAACAUUUUGUUUGGUACUAUACUGGUUCCCUAACUGUCAGACCAGAGUAGUUAGGCUUACAUUAGUCCAUGUAAACUGAUUCAGUGGGUAUUCCAAUCACGACCUUAAUCUCUUUGCAUGUAUUCUCACUCCUCCCAUUCUCAGGUGGGAUUUGGAAGCUCAGCACUGUGAUUGUCAGUGGAUCUCUGCAUCUGCUUCCAUCAUUUGCUUGAUGUAGGUUCUAUGAUGACAUUAAGAUAGUCAUCAAUCUGACAAGAAGGCAAAGGCUGUUCAAGUACUCCCUCCACUAAUGCAUAGGGUCUUAGCUGGGGUCAUCCUUGUGAAUUCCUGGGAAUUUUUCCAAAUCUAUCUUUUAGGUAUUCCCAUAAUGUCUGUCAAUGAAUAUUACUUUUUUCCGUGCUCUCGGUCUCUUUCCAUCCCCCAUCUCAACAAUCCCAUUCCUUCAAGUUUUUUCCUGUCCUUUCUUUGUCCUUAGUUUCUGCAUUCCCUUUCACCGCACACAUAUUUCCCAUUUUUCGCAUUAUAUUUGUCUUAUUCCCUUUCCCAUGGUUAUUAAUUUUUCCCUUAAUGUUCCCCUUAUUACUCAGCUUCUCUAUGGUCCUGGGCUAUAGGUUCCCUUUACUAUUCUUUCAGUUGUUGUUCACCUAUGAUUAGGUACAAACCAUCCUCAUCAUCCUGGUCUGAGUUACCUCACUUAGGAUAAAAUUCUCAAGAUUCUCAUUUGCCUUCAAAUUUCAAGAUGUCUUUCCUUUUACCGCUGAGUAGGUCUCCAUUGUGUAAAUGUGCUCAAUUUUUUUAGCCAUUAUUUUGGUCAAUGGGAAUAGAUUUUCUUCCAUGCUGUUCUAAUUAUAUUAUAUGCUUAAGGAUUAUAGAAGAAUAUCCCAGACAUUGGCCCACUUCUUGACAUUAAUAUCUACUCUUAAGAAAAGAUAAUUUAACAUUGGUGUUUACAGAGGAUCAUAUCAUAUUUGGUGAGUAAGUAGAAUACAGUAAACUUUAGAGUGGUUAACUGUGAGGUCUGUAAUUUAUACUCAUUAUCUUACUUUUUUUUUUUUGCCUUUAUUGUUACAUUGAAAUCUGAGACAGUCGGGUAGCAGUCUAAGUCAGGAAUAUGCUCAUUUUGAAAUUUCCAAACCUGGAAGUCAUUUUUAGAAUACUUGUUUUCUAAAGCAGGCAUGCUGGUAUUAUACAAUUCCAGGAUUUUAGAGAAGUGUGGCAACAGGAAGUUUUCUGAGAAAUCAUGGCCACCUAGGCUAGAAUGGCACAUUUCAGUCUGAGGAGGAAACCUAGCUCAAAUUCGCAAGUUUUAAUAAAUAUUUAAGUCAAACCACUAUUUGAUUAAUAUGUAAAAAAGUUUUGCCUUAAUGAAUUACCAAAAACUGUAACAAAAUACAUAAUUCUAGUAGUAUAUACAGUGCUCAAAUAUACAGGAUGCAUACACAAAGGACAAUGUAGCCAAACCCUUAUUAAAGUGGCUAUUUAUAGUAUUUAGAUAAUUGAGAAAGAAAUCGAGAAUUAUUUUCAGCAUAUUUUGCCAUGUAGGGCAUUCAUGUACCAAUAGAUGGUAUCUUAUUGAUGGACAUACAAAUUCCUUAAAUAUAUUCUGUAUAUAUUAAAGAUAGAAAAAUAUA